rnacentral:rRNA from 1 species
AUACGUAGGGGGCGAGCGUUGUCCGGAAUGAUUGGGCGUAAAGGGCGCGUAGGCGGCCCGGUAAGUCUGGAGUGAAAGUCCUGUUUUUAAGAUGGGAAUUGCUUUGGAUACUGUCGGGCUUGAGUGCAGGAGAGGUAAGUGGAAUUCCCAGUGUAGCGGUGAAAUGCGUAGAGAUUGGGAGGAACACCAGUGGCGAAGGCGACUUACUGGACUGUAACUGACGCUGAGGCGCGAAAGUGUGGGGAGCAAACAGGAUUAGAUACCCUGGUAGUCCACACUGUAAAUGAUGAAUGCUAGGUGUAGGGGGUAUCGACCCCUUCUGUGCCGCAGUCAACACAAUAAGCAUUCCGCCUGGGGAGUACGGCCGCAAGGUUGAAACUCAAAUGAAUUGACGGGG